CCCAAAUUGACAAACAUGAUUUCUGAUCUUGUCAAAUCAGUGUCAAACAGAGUAGCCGAAGAAGUACUAUAGAGGUUUCGUUUGGGUAGAUGCUAGAUGAUAUGCGCGGUACGGAUAACUACAGAAUGCAGCUGUAUACAUUAUUAGUGCUUGAUGAUUUAAGAUAAAACUGUGGAAAUUGUAACUUCACUGAGGAAUUUGGGUGAUGGGAGACACUCCAUCCAUACUGAAUAAGCAGAGAAAAUAAAGGGGCAUUACUCGGCAUGACUCAGCAGGCCCUCUGUCAUCAGGGAUUUUGCCAUAAGUGACAGUCAGCAUCUAACAGUGAAGUGUUGACUGUGUGUGCUGAUUCUGAUCAUACAGAGUGUGAGUAGUACGGAGAUGCUUCAUGAAAUCGAGUGUGAAUCCUUUUCAUGGAACACUGUUGAGAAAAUUUAGAGAACCAGCAUUUGAAGCUGACUGCAAACUACUCUUUUGCUGCAAGUGAUAAAUGAUACAUGUCGUGUAAAGAUCACAAAGGCCCAAAAAUCUGCUUGAAGGGAACAAUAAGAAGUAUUAGAAGGGAAAACGAAAUACUAGAAGAACAGAAUUGAUAAAAAUUAUUGUAUCUAAUGUUUUUAGUGUAAAAAUCCAGAGGAGAGCUAGAUCAUCUACAAAUCAUCAGUAAAUGGUUGGUGUGAUAAUCCAGAAGUGGUGUGAAAUAGAUCCUCAGUGUGUGUUUCCUGUGAAAGAUAGUGCAAACUUUUUGAGUUUAAGACUUACACUAAGAAAAAUGACAACUAGUAAAUCUCACUGCUGUCCAAGCCACCCCGACAACUUUUGUUCUGUGUGUGGGAAAUUCGCUCAAAAAGCCCAAAGAAAACCAAUCACUGAUUUGGUUUAGAAGGCAUAUAAAUUAUGAUUGUCCUGUUGGUGAUCAAGAUAAAAAUUUUGCACCCCAUAUUGCCUGCAUAACCUAUACUACAACCUUAACAAAAUGAUUAAAAGGGAAACGCCGAGCCAUACCAUUCGCUGUUCCAAUGGUGUGGUGUGAGCCUA